UAAGGCACGCGGUGAAUGCCA
rnacentral:ncRNA from 42 species